GCCCUGUGAUGAGACCAAGGCAAAUAUGAGCUUACUGAAUGAGAGUUGGGUUCUUCUUGCCUUGACUGGCAGGUAAUCUUGGUAGUGUAGAGAAGGAUUCCUGCUCUGCUGUAAGGGCCUGCCUACAGUGAUUUGGCUUGUCCCCAGAUUAUUCCUUUAAAGUUACAGUGGGAUGAAGCUGACAUUGUGUGUGUGUGUGUAUGUAUGUAUGUAUGUGUGUGCGCACGUGCAUGUUUUAAUGGCUGUGUGUGCAUUUGUGUAUGUGUAUAAAGGGCAAGGAGUUCACCCAGCUCUCUUUGCCAUUCAGUCAGCCAUGAGGUGUUUCUUUGGUAAUCUGAGGGCC